rnacentral:lncRNA from 1 species
AGGGUUUAGGAUUUGGAUUAGGCUUUGGUUAGGAUUUGAUUUAGGAUUUAUGAUUUGAUUUAGGGUUUGGUUAGGAUUUGGUUUAGGAUUUGAUUGAGGUUUGGUUUAAGGUUUUUUUAAGAUUUCAUUUAGAAUUUAGGAUUUUAUUAGGAUUUAAGAUUCAAUUAUUUUUGGCCUAAAGUUUGAAUGAAGUUCAAUAGGAUUUUAACUAGGAUUAAAUUAAGAUUGAAUUGAAAUGUAUUUGAAUGAUAUUUGUAAUCCUUCUAAUAUUUCUUUAAGAAUUCUUAUUAUUUUUUUGAAAUUUCUUUGAGGUUUUUUUGAAUUUGAUUAAGCUUGCUUAGCAUUAUUAUGAUCUA